ensembl:lncRNA
CAAGUGUUGAGUCUUCAUUGUUGUGUGUUUUAAUGUAUUGAGACUGAACCUGAAGCUGCAAGCAAAGCCUGAAUACCUGAGAACUUUCAGAGAAACAGCCCCGGAAAUAAAACUCACAACGGAAAGCAAAGGUGGACAUUGACAUGAAGAACAGACAAGUUUCCCAUGAAAAUCAGCUGAAAGUGAGAAAAGACGUUCUACUUACUUGAAGAAAAACCACAUGAAGAGAGCAGCAGUGCCUCCUGAACUGAUCUCAUCAAAUCUACUCGUCCAUCCAUGCUCUCGUGUAAAUUUGGCUGACGAAGUGGCCACGAGCCAAAGUACUGCAGCUGCUCAGCAAAACAUGGAAAACUUGGAUCAUGUGAUGGUCCCAUUGGCAGCUUCUGAAAGUGAUUCAGGCGUUUUACUUUUUGUUAAUGAUUACAUCGCUGGUGAAUGAACUCAAAUUCCUUCAGUAUCACUGGCUGGACCUUCACCCUGCAGCAAGCCUGAAAUGCCAAUCAAACAAGCUGCUACCUUAAGGUGGAGGUAGAGUUAAUAUAGUCAAAACAUUUGUGCUUCAUCUUUUUUGGCUCUAAAUGGGACCAAAAUUUACAAAAAUAAUAUUGUGCUGUAUUUAGUACAACUUUAAACUGGUUAAGAAAACCAAAACCUGGCCAGGAAAGGAUUUGAGGGCACAGAAUGUGGAAGCAACCAGCCACACAAAUCACCCCCAGUGGGCCAUUAGAAGGAACACCAGAUUCAAGCACUACUUCACCAGCUUCACUUUCCAGACCUACAUCUUACCACCUGGAAGUAGAGGAAGAAAAAAAGAGAAAAAAUUGAUUCAGUCUCCACUUUUGUCAUGUUAAAACUGAAACGCCUAAAGGAUCAAAUUUCAAGUGAUCAGAAUAGUUAAAAACAAAAAACAACAGUUCUGAUUUUGGCAGCUGCUUUUAUUAAAAAUGAUGUAAAAAAAACAAGAAAAGGAAGUUCGUUCAGCGUUUCUUCAGUUAGACGUCAGUCACAAUGAAACUCGAUGUACAGUCAUUACAAACAUUGGUUACCUUCACACAACCACAGGCUAGUUUCAGACAUGAACGCUGUAUAAAACACCUGCUACUGAAAAACCACAAGACUUCUGAAGGAUUAUUUUCAGUCCCUGCCUGGUGACAACAUGACCAGUGAAAUUUGAAACAGGAAGUACAAGUUCUCUUCCACUUAUCCUUAUCAGAGCGUGGAGCCUAUCCCAGCUACCACAGAAAGGUCGCAAACCUGACACAUCGCUGACACAGAGAACAAUUGACAUUCACAGCUAUGGCUAUGGCUAGGAGGAGGAGUUGGCCGUCCGACUGGGGUCUGGAAUGUGGGGCCUCCCUGCUGCUCCCACCGCAGGGAAAAGGGUAACACCACCUGGGUCUGGGCGCAGUUUCCCCCUCCAGGGGCAAGGGUACCUAGACCCGGGGCUUAGAGUACGCUUGGGGAGUGUGAUUGUGUGUACAGUGUCUCUCUAUGUCUGUCUCCACGUUGGGUGAGUGUGGAGUAAUUGCAUUUGAGAGCAUGAGGGUGGGAAUGGAUGUUUGUAUCUGUGUGUGCCUGUUUGUCUGUGUCUAUAUGUCAGGUUGGGUAUCAGACGCCACCUCUCUGGGGACAUCUCAGGCCAUCCAAGGUUUGGAGGCCCAUCUCCCCCCACCACUUCCCCUGCCGGUGGUGGACACCCUCAGACAUCGGUGCAUUGGUGGUUCUUUGUGUCCGGGGGUGGGCGCCCAGGUACCCACCGGCUCACUCCUUGGCGGCUGCUUAUCGGGGCCUGGAGCCUGGGGCUCGCUUGGGCCACUUCGGGGAUGGGGUGCCCUCGGCCUCUCGGCCCGGGGCUCGGUCACUCAGGCACAGCUGGCUGCCGGGCGGAGCUCAUGGGCACGUCACUGCAAC